rnacentral:rRNA from 1 species
UUGCACGCUGGCGGCAGGCCUCACACAUGCAAGUCGCACGGUAACAGGAAACAGCUUGCUGUUUCGCUGACGAGUGGCGGACGGGUGAGUAAUGUCUGGGAAACUGCCUGAUGGAGGGGGAUAACUACUGGAAACGGUAGCUAAUACCGCAUAACGUCGCAAGACCAAAGAGGGGGACCUUCGGGCCUCUUGCCAUCGGAUGUGCCCAGAUGGGAUUAGCUAGUAGGUGGGGUAACGGCUCACCUAGGCGACGAUCCCUAGCUGGUCUGAGAGGAUGACCAGCCACACUGGAACUGAGACACGGUCCAGACUCCUACGGGAGGCAGCAGUGGGGAAUAUUGCACAAUGGGCGCAAGCCUGAUGCAGCCAUGCCGCGUGUAUGAAGAAGGCCUUCGGGUUGUAAAGUACUUUCAGCGGGGAGGAAGGGAGUAAAGUUAAUACCUUUACUCAUUGACGUUACCCGCAGAAGAAGCACCGGCUAACUCCGUG